GUGGGGAAUAUUGGACAAUGGGCGAAAGCCUGAUCCAGCCAUGCCGCGUGUGUGAAGAAGGUCUUCGGAUUGUAAAGCACUUUAAGUUGGGAGGAAGGGCAGUAAGUUAAUACCUUGCUGUUUUGACGUUACCGACAGAAUAAGCACCGGCUAACUUCGUGCCAGCAGCCGCGGUAAUACGAAGGGUGCAAGCGUUAAUCGGAAUUACUGGGCGUAAAGCGCGCGUAGGUGGAUUUGUAAGUUGGAGGUGAAAUCCCCGGGCUCAACCUGGGAACUGCAUCAAAAACUGCAUGACUAGAGUACGGUAGAGGGUAGUGGAAUUUCCUGUGUAGCGGUGAAAUGCGUAGAUAUAGGAAGGAACACCAGUGGCGAAGGCGACUACCUGGACUGAUACUGACACUGAGGUGCGAAAGCGUGGGGAGCAAACAGGAUUAGAAACCCCAGUAGUCC
rnacentral:rRNA from 1 species